AUAUCUCUCUGUACGGGAAGGAUGAGAAGCUUCGACUAAGGUUCGAUUCGAGCGCAGCGAGAAAGCGUUGCCGCAGGCAACGACC
rnacentral:sRNA from 3 species